UACCUGCUCAGUGUCCAUCAUUAGCAGGCACUCCAAUAGAGAAACAUAACAACUUUUGGUCUUUUCCAGGCUAUCUACAGCUACUUUUGCCAAAUUUCCAUACUACCUCUACUUUUAUUUGGGAUUUAUGUGCAAGCUAGCGCAAAAGGAAGAGGCAGGAGGAAUCACACCUCAGUGGUCAUUGAUAUCUCCAGGAGUCCAUUAUGGAUUAAACAUGUCUUUCUCCGGAGUGGCUCAUAGGUGGAAGGGACUUGCCUUGUCUCAGAUGAGACUUUGGACUGUGGACUUUGGAUAAAUGCAAAAGGGCGUUAAGACUUCAGGGGACUGUUGGGAAGGCACGACUGAUUUUGAAAUAUGAAGACAUGAGAUUUGAAAGGGCCAGAGGCAGAAUGAUAUGGUUUGGCUCUGUGUCCCCACCCAAAUCUCACCUUGAAUUGUACUUUCACCUUCCACCAUGAUUCUGAGGCCUCCCCAGCCAUGUGGAACUGUAAGUCCAAUUAAACCUUAUUUUCUUACCAGACUCAGGUAUCUCUUUGUCAGCAGCAUAAAAACAGACUGAUACACCAAAACUUUCUUUUUUUUUUUUUAACUUUUAUUUUAAGUCUAGGGGUACAAGUGUAGGCUUAUUACAUAGGUAAACUUGUGUCAUGGGGGUUAGUUAUAAAGAUUAUUUCACCACCCAUCACUACUAAGCCUAGUACCCAUUAGUUAUUUUUCCUGAUCCUCUCCCUUUACUCAUCCUCCACCUUCAGGAAGGUCUACUUUCU
rnacentral:lncRNA from 13 species